AAUGGCGAUUUGAAUAUUUCGAAGCGCGAAUAUAGCAAACUUUGGAGGGAUUGUUUUCCCAAUUGUGCACCUGUUUCGCUUGGGGAGCGACGGAUUCUGAUAAAGUUGCAAACACUACCAAACAGUGAAAUAAAGAUAUGAAACAUUAUCCCACUCAAAAAUAGGUUAUAGUCCAGAUGAAGAAUCGAAUUCACUGGUCCAUAAUAAAUACAGGUCAGUGGUCUAUUGCAUUGUGGGCAAUGUGGUGUUACCAAAUUAGCCAAUCACAAGCUGCAGUUUCGGUCAUGUGACAGUUUUUGACAGAUUGAGUGAUUGACAGUCAGUUUUCAAGACCAUGUGGACGCUGCGGUGGCAAGGAAAUUCGCUCUUCGUUUCAAGAAAAGAAAACCAGGCCGAAAUCUGUCGACGAAAGCUGGAUUCAAUGGUCGUGAGUUUUACAUUGUAAUGAUGGAGAAAUGUUACCAUUUUUCAUGCAAAUACAAAAUCUAAAAUUAAAUUCAAACCAGACAUUUUAUGAAAUCAAAAUCAAACCAGACAUUUUAUAAUAUACCCAGACAUUUGAGGCUCCUCUGUUUUUGGAUUGCAUGCAGUUCAGAUCCCAACCCUUGGUUAUAUCUUGCAUGUUUUGUCAGGAGUAAUGAGUAAGUAUAAGUGAUCAGCGGCCGGGGUCAUUUAUACUUUCUGUAUGCUCGACUGACCUAGUCCGGCAUAGGCAAAAUAUUGCUCUUGGAGCACACAAAAAAAGAGAUGCAUGUUGAGAUAUGAUCUUAAAAAGGGGGUAUAAUGGUCGAGUGUUAAAUGUCUGUCCCAUUUUUGAAUGAAGCAUGUGUUAAAUCUUGCUAAAUUUGCAUGUAAUUUCGAAAAUGCAUGAAAAUUUUGUAUUCGCAUGUACAAUGAGCGUCGUGGUGAAGAUGAUGUUGGUGGAGCUCAUGCAGAUGAUGAUGGACCAGCUGACGAUGACAGAUGAUGAUGGACCACCCGAUUACAGAUGAUGAUGGACCACCUGAUGACGAUGAUCAGCAGAUGAUGAUGGACCGCCCGAUGACAGAUGAUGGACCGCCCGAUGACAGAUGAUGAUGGGCCGCCCGAAGACAGAAGAUGAUGGGCUGAAGACAGGUUUGAUGGGUGGUAUUAUUCAGUUUUCAUACAUUCUAUCCUGUGCAUGCUUGUUUUCCUGGUGGUCUGCUCUAAAUGUGUAAUACAUUAAGUGAAAUUCCCAUUUUGACAUUGAUGAUAAAUAAAAAUUCCGGAUUGCAUGCAGAACAAUUAAAUUAAUGUAUACAGCAUGUUUGAUUCUUUGAAAAUGCAUGUUUCUGUUUUAUCACUUAAUGUGUAAUGCAAUUGGUGAAAUUAAUGCAUGAUAUUACUGAAGUGUCCAAUGGUGCGGCUAAAAAUGAUGAAGCAAGAACUCAACUUGAAGAAUGGAAUUCGUACAAAGGUAACUGUGAACAAGAACCAGGUAUGCAUAUGAUUGUUUUUGUUUGUUGGCACAUAUACAUAAGGCAUUGGCAUUAAAAAUUUGCAACAAAAUAUUACAGUAAUGCGCCACAAGAUUGAUUUCUGUAAGUGCAUGUGCGAAUGAAAAUAGCUAAAAUAAUAGCAUUAUUUUAAAAAAGCGAAUUAUUUUCAAAGCUUUUUAUGUAUUAAUGUCGUACCAUACUUGAUCACCUCUGGCAAUAUUUUACCGUGAAUCUUUCCUGUUUUUUAGAAAGAAAUCGAGGAACAAUUAAGGAAAGAGGAAGAAGAGGCAAAAUCUCGACAAGCUGCUCUUGAACAAGAGAGAUUAGAUCACGAACUGGCCUUGCGUUUGGCAAAGGAAUCCAACUCGAACAGGGAUUAUUUUAAGGAAAUUUUAUCACUGCACAAAAGCGCAAAAAGGAUAAAAUUUGUAUCAUUUUCCCCACAUUACAGAAAAACUUCUGACUGACCUACUUGUUCUGAUUCUUCAACCCAUGCAUUACACUAUAUACAUGCUAUCAAAUGAGCCAAAAUCCCAGCUGAGCCUAUAUCACCAUCCUCUAUUUUUAUAACAUUAGCAAUAUUAAAUAUCAACACUUUCUCACAUAGGCCUAUUUUUUGCAAAAUGUCAAUGCAUCUACAUUACUUAGCACUCAUCUUUAAAGAAUUUUCUAACAAGCAACUAUGAAAUGUAAUGUAAUUUGUCGAAAAAUACCACAUUUAUCACUGCACAUAUUCUCAUUUAUCACUGCACAAAUCUCAUUUAUCACUGCACAAAUUGGUUAUCACUGCACACUAAAAUAAUCCCUGAACUCGAAUGUAGAACCCAUGGAGGAACAAAAAGCUAUUAAAAGCCUCCUUGAAAGAUCCGAAUAAGAAAUAUGACCUGAGUAAAUGGAAAUAUGCUGAGUUAAGAGACGCCAUCAACACCUCGUGCGAUGUCGAGUUAUUAGAAGCUUGUAAACAAGAGUUCCAUCGCCGUCUUAAGGUUUAUCAUCAGUGGAAAAAUAAAAAUAAGGCAUCGAAGUCGACGGGUCAAAGUGCUGGUGAUCAAAGAGCACCUCAAGAGGUCGUGGAAGAAGAGCGGCUUCCUUGAAAGAUCCGAAUAAGAAAUAUGACCUGAGUAAAUGGAAAUAUGCUGAGUUAAGAGACGCCAUCAACACCUCGUGC
rnacentral:misc_RNA from 1 species